CGACGUCAUCCUAUGCGACACUUACACUCCGAUUGGAGGAACAGGUUAUAUUUCAGGACCUUUUCAUAGCCAAGGAUGAAAACGUAGGAAAAUGUGUGGACUGUAUACACAAAUCAACCAAAAAUAUUUUGUGGUGGGCAAUGGUCAGCAGCCAGGGAGAUCUCUCACAGAUCCAGCAGCAAACUGGAUGAGGAGGCUUGGAGCUAGAGGCUGGCCAACAGACAAUCACCUUUUUUUUCCCAUGGAUGUAGCAUGCAAGUACUGGACAUAACUUGAAAACUAACAAAAUGCUGUCCUGAGCUCCAACACCUGCUUAAAAUGAAGCCAUUUCUCUCAAUUUUCCAUGGCAAAGCCCAUGAAUGUAAGUAAGGAACAC